UACGUAGGGGGCAAGCGUUGUCCGGAAUCAUUGGGCGUAAAGCGCGUGUAGGCGGCCCGGUAAGUCCGCUGUGAAAGUCGGGGCUCAACCCUCGAAUGCCGGUGGAUACUGUCGGGCUAGAGUGCGGAAGAGGCGAGUGGAAUUCCUGGUGUAGCGGUGAAAUGCGUCAGAUAUCGAGGAGGAACACCGCGGCGGCGAAGGCGGGUCAUGCCUGGGCCG
rnacentral:rRNA from 1 species